AACGAACGCUGGCGGCAUGCCUAAUACAUGCAAGUCGAACGAGAUCUUCGGAUCUAGUGGCGCACGGGUGCGUAACGCGUGGGAAUCUGCCCUUGGGUUCGGAAUAACUUCUGGAAACGGAAGCUAAUACCGGAUGAUUACGUAAGUCCAAAGAUUUAUCGCCCAAGGAUGAGCCCGCGUAGGAUUAGGUAGUUGGUGAGGUAAAGGCUCACCAAGCCGACGAUCCUUAGCUGGUCUGAGAGGAUGAUCAGCCACACUGGGACUGAGACACGGCCCAGACUCCUACGGGAGGCAGCAGUAGGGAAUAUUGGACAAUGGGCGAAAGCCUGAUCCAGCAAUGCCGCGUGAGUGAUGAAGGCCUUAGGGUUGUAAAGCUCUUUUACCCGGGAUGAUAAUGACAGUACCGGGAGAAUAAGCUCCGGCUAACUCCGUG
rnacentral:rRNA from 1 species